rnacentral:rRNA from 1 species
GACGAACGCUGGCGGCGUGCUUAACACAUGCAAGUCGAACGGAAAGGCCCUGCUUUUGUGGGGUGCUCGAGUGGCGAACGGGUGAGUAACCCGUGAGUAACCUGCCCUUGACUUUGGGAUAACUUAAGGAAACUGGGGCUAAUACCGGAUAGGAGCUCCUGCUGCAUGGUGGGGGUGGGAAAGUUUCGGCGGUUGGGGAUGGACUCGCGGCUUAUCAGCUUGUUGGUGGGGUAGUGGCUUACCAAGGCUUGGACGGGUAGCCGGCCUGAGAGGGUGACCGGCCACAUUGGGACUGAGAUACGGCCCAGACUCCUACGGGAGGCAGCGGUGGGGAAUAUUGCACAAUGGGAGGAAGCCUGAUGCAGCAACGCCGCGUGCGGGAUGACGGCCUUCGGGUUGUAAACCGCUUUCGCCUGUGACGAAGCGUGAGUGACGGUAAUGGGUAAAGAAGCACCGGCUAACUACGUG